rnacentral:lncRNA from 1 species
UUUGCCAUUUGAAACAUGUAGCUCAUAUUACUCAGGUGAGCGAUUUAGGGUCAUCAUGACUCUCUUGUUAAUACAAACAAUAUCUAUUUUCAGAAACAGGUAUUGCCCUUGUAUGCAGGCAAGAUAUUUUCACUAAUGCCAUCAUUUAAAUGUACCACUGAUGUUAUUCAAGGUUCUCCAGGUGAUGCUGAUACUCCUGUAUUGUGUGAAAGUACCGAGGAUGUCUCUGUGGACUCAGUAAGGCCCUGCCUGCUAGGCUGUCUAAACAAACUUAACAUAAACCAUGUUUAAUGUUCUUUAUGAUGGAAGUGCGUAUGAAUAAGUAUAUCUGUGAUAGUUUCCAUGUAAAACUGUACUAAUUUAAUUUCAUAAUACUUUUUUCUGCACAUAACUAUCAUAGUAUGAAUAUGAUCCAGACUGCGCUUAUAUAUCAUGUGAUUAUGACAAAAGAUGGUGUGUCUGAUUUCAUGUA